rnacentral:rRNA from 1 species
AUUGAACGCUGGCGGCAGGCCUAACACAUGCAAGUCGAACGGUAACAGGAAGAAGCUUGCUUCUUUGCUGACGAGUGGCGGACGGGUGAGUAAUGUCUGGGAAACUGCCCGAUGGAGGGGGAUAACUACUGGAAACGGUAGCUAAUACCGCAUAAUGUCGCAAGACCAAAGAGGGGGACCUUCGGGCCUCUUGCCAUCGGAUGUGCCCAGAUGGGAUUAGCUAGUAGGUGGGGUAACGGCUCACCUAGGCGACGAUCCCUAGCUGGUCUGAGAGGAUGACCAGCCACACUGGAACUGAGACACGGUCCAGACUCCUACGGGAGGCAGCAGUGGGGAAUAUUGCACAAUGGGCGCAAGCCUGAUGCAGCUAUGCCGCGUGUAUGAAGAAGGCCUUCGGGUUGUAAAGUACUUUCAGCGGGGAGGAAGGGAGUAAAGUUAAUACCUUUGCUCAUUGACGUUACCCGCAGAAGAAGCACCGGCUAACUCCGUG